rnacentral:rRNA from 1 species
CUACGGGUGGCACCAGUGGGGAAUAUUGCACAAUGGGCGCAAGCCUGAUGCAGCCAUGCCGCGUGUAUGAAGAAGGCCUUCGGGUUGUAAAGUACUUUCAGCGGGGAGGAAGGGAGUAAAGUUAAUACCUUUGCUCAUUGACGUUACCCGCAGAAGAAGCACCGGCUAACUCCGUGCCAGCAGCCGCGGUAAUACGGAGGGUGCAAGCGUUAAUCGGAAUUACUGGGCGUAAAGCGCACGCAGGCGGUUUGUUAAGUCAGAUGUGAAAUCCCCGGGCUCAACCUGGGAACUGCAUCUGAUACUGGCAAGCUUGAGUCUCGUAGAGGGGGGUAGAAUUCCAGGUGUAGCGGUGAAAUGCGUAGAGAUCUGGAGGAGUACCGGUGGCGAAGGCGGCCCCCUGAACGAAGACUGACGCUCAGGUGCGAAAGCGUGGGGAGCAAACAGGAUUAGAUACCCGGGUAGUC